GUCGUGAGAUGUUGGGUUAAGUCCCGCAACGAGCGCAACCCUUAUCCUAUGUUGCCAGCGGGUUAUGCCGGGGACUCGUAGGAGACUGCCGGGGUCAACUCGGAGGAAGGUGGGGACGACGUCAAGUCAUCAUGCCCCUUAUGCCCAGGGCUGCAAACACGCUACAAUGGCCGGUACAGAGGGCUGCGAUCCCGCGAGGGUGAGCGAAUCCCACAAAGCCGGUCUCAGUUCGGAUUGGAGUCUGCAACUCGACUCCAUGAAGCCGGAGUUGCUAGUAAUCCCGGAUCAGCACGCCGGGGUGAAUACGUUCCCGGGCCUUGUACACACCGCCCGUCACACCACGAAAGUCGGCAACACCCGAAGCCGGUGGCCCAACCCUUUUGGGAGGGAGCCGUCGAAGGUGGGGUCGGUGAUUGGGGUGAAGUCGUAACAAGGUAGCCGUACCGGAAGGUGCGGCUGGAUCACCUCCUUUCUAAGGAGUCCAUUCCACAUCGUUGGUGAUCGAAUGAUCGCCCGAUGUUUGGACACCCAGUUGGUGCACUGGUGGAUCGUCGUCAGCUGACCGCAGGGGUCGCAGGGUUCGUCCCUCCUACUGUGGAACGCCGCCGGCGACUACUGUCUUCUCUUCCGUUUUGAGGGAGUUGGAACUUCCAACACCUCGUUGCGCCUCUGCGUCGAGGCCGCCCCCGGGCGGAAUCCGCAAGCGCCGCACCACACCGUGGUUGCACCUUGAGAACUGCAGAGCAAGCACGAGCAUCUAAAUUUCUUAAUUGAACUUUAAUUUUGUUCUUUCCAAGCUACUAAGAGCCAACGGUGGAUGCCUUGGCGCCAAGAACCGAAGAAGGACGUGAGUGACUGCGAAAAGCUGCGGGGAGCCGUCUACUAGGCAUUGAUCCGCAGAUGU
rnacentral:sRNA from 1 species